GUCGCCUUGCGCGGCUGGAGCCCUGGAGCCCACGGCCGGGGCCGCGGGCGGGGCCCGGGACUGCGGUGCUGCGCCCGAGCACGUACUGAGGCGUGGCCUGCCGCGCGCCGGGCGGGGCUCGGGAAGUUUCUCGGGUUGGCUUGGGUUUCGCAUCCUCAUCAUGUAGCGCCAGCCACACCAGGAACAGAAGGGUGCCGGGUACCUUCCGCAUGCUUGGUAUUCUCCCCGCGGGGCUCUGACCGCUGCCGCUCUCAGGCACCUGUCUUUCCUCUCCGUCCCAGAAUGGAGCCAAGACAAGGGAAUAAACGAAAUUCAAUAGUACACGGAGAUCGGGUGUCUGGGCAGCGUCUUGGAAAAACUAUCCACUACAGUACAGGUCAAGUGAAGUUCUUCUGCUGAUAUGUUCUGCUACUGCAUAAGAGACGGAAUCUAUGUUGCCUCGACUGGUCCUGAACUCCUGGGCUAAAGCGAUCCUUCUGCCUUGGCCUCCCAAAGUGCGAGGAUUAUAGCUUUUUUCCCCCCUCUGCUCCCACACCACAGCAAUCAACAACACAGAAGACAACUUCUGCAACCCUAUCGGGAGAGGAGGGGUUCUCUCCACCACCAGAUUAUUCCUGACUAGUGAUAUAAAUAAAAUCUUUCCUGGUCCAGAAUUGGUGUUGAGCCUCUCAACAAAUCUUUGAGCCCUGAUUAUAUAUAAGGUAUUGUGCCAGGUGCAGUGGCUCACGCCUGUAAUCCCAGCACUUUGGGAGGCUGAGGUGGGCGGAUCACCUGAGGUCGGGAGUUCGAGACCAGCCUGACCAACAUGGAGAAACCCCGUCUCUACUAAAAAUACAAAAUUAGCUAGGCAUGUUGCCACGUGCCUGUAACCCCAGCUACUCGGGAGGCUGAGGCAGGAGAAUCAACUGAACCUGGGAGAUGGAGGUUGUGGUGAGCUGAGAUUACACCAUUGCACUCCAGCCUGGGCAACAAGAGCAAAACUCCAUUUCAAAAAAAAGAAGUAUUGUGCUAGAUAAAUAAAACAACAAAAAUGUGUAUGUAAAGUUUUUACUCUAAGAUGAAGGUUCUCAAACGUCAGUUUUCAUCACAGUCCCCUGGAAGAAUUCUCAAAACACAGAAUGCUUGCCAAGUCAAUCCUAAGCCAAAAGAACAAAGCUGGAGGCAUCACACUACCUGACUUCAAACUAUACUACAAGGAUGCAGUAACCAAAACAGCAUGGUACUGGUACCAAAACAGAGAUAUAGACCAAUGGAACAGAACAGAGCCCUCAGAAAUAAUGCCGCUUAUCUACAACCAUCUGAUCUUUGACAAACCUGACAAAAACAAGAAAUGGGGAAAGGAUUCCCUAUUUAAUAAAUGGUGCUGGGAAAACUGGCUAGCCAUAUGCAGAAAGCUGAAACUGGAUCCCUUCCUUACACCUUAUGCUAAAAUUAAUUCAAGAUGGAUUAAAGACUUAAAUGUUAGACCUAAAACCAUAAAAACCGUAGAAUAAAACCUAGGCAAUACCAUUCAGGACAUAGGCAUGGGCAAGGACUUCAUGUUUAAAACACCAAAAGCCAUGGCAACAGAAGCCAAAAUUGACAAAUAGGAUCUAAUUAAACUAAAGAGCUUCUGCACAGCAAAAGAAACUACCAUCAGAGUGAACAGGCAACCUACAGAAUGGGAGAAAAUUUUUGCAAUCUACUCAUCUGACAAAGGGCUAGUAUCCAGAAUCUACAAUGAACUCAAACAAAUUUACAAGAAAAAAACAACCCCAUCAAAAAGUGGGCAAACGAUAUGAACAGACACUUCUCAAAAGACGACAUUUAUGCUGCCAAAAGACACAUGAAAAAAUGCUCAUCAUCACUGGCCAUCAGAGAAAUGCAAAUCAAAACCACAAUGAGAUACCAUCUCACACCAGUUAGAAUGGCGAUCAUUAAAAAGUCAGGAAACAACAGGUGCUGGAGAGGAUGUGGAGAAACAGGAACACUUUUACACUGUUAGUGGGACUGUAAACUAGUUCAACCAUUGUGGAAGUCAGUGUGGCGAUUCCUCAGGGAUCUAGAACUAGAAAUACCAUUUGACCCAGCCAUCCCAUUACUGGGUAUAUACCCAAAGGAUUAUAAAUCAUGCUGCUAUAAAGACACAUGCACACGUAUGUUUAUUGUGGCACUAUUCACAAUAGCAAAGACUUGGAACCAACCCAAAUGUCCAAUAAUGAUAGACUGGAUUAAGAAAAUGUGGCACAUAUACACCAUGGAAUACUAUUCAGCCAUAAAAAAGGAUGAGUUCAUGUCCUUUGUAGGGACAUGGAUGAAGCCGGAAACCAUCAUUCUCAGCAAACUAUCGCAAGGACAAAAAACCAAACACCGCGUGUUCUCACUCAUAGGUAGGAACUGAACAAUGAGAACACAUGGACACAGGAAGGGGAACAUCACACGCCGGGGCCUGUUGUGGGGUGGGGGGAGCGGGGAGGGAUAGCAUUAGGAGAUAUACCUAAUGUUAAAUGACGAGUUACUGGGUGCAGCACACCAACAUGGCACAUGUAUACAUAUGUAACUAACCUGCACGUUGUGCACAUGUACCCUAAAACUUAAAGUAUAAUAAAGAAAAAAAAA
rnacentral:lncRNA from 1 species